GGGGCCGGUUGUAUCAAAGGCGUUUAACUUAAACGGUGUUUAGCCGCUAACCAGCAUAUAAAUUUCUUAUCCAGCGGAUAGUUAAACGGCCGAUAAAAUUGCGUUGUACGAAGCCCGUUUAGUACCGCGUUUAACUAUCCGUAGGAUAACCUUUAAUUUAACCGGAGAAAACCGGAUUUUCUUGAAAUUUCUUACCUCUACGUCAGCUGUUGCUAGGCCUUUGUAAACUUUUGAAGCUUUAUCUAUAACUUGUGAAUUCCACUAAGCUUUUGCAAUAAAGUUUGUUGUUGUUUUUAUUUAGUUUAGUUUAGUUUAGUUUAAUGAAUUUGCCAUAUAUUACAUAUAAUAUCAUUAAUUAUAAGUAUAUGACAGGAGUUUGAACAGGACUUGCGUCCCAAUUGCAACAUAACCCCUUUACAUAAAACUCCAAAAAUAUCGGAGAAACAACAAUUAUAAAAUCAAAUAAAUAAAUAAGCGAGUAAGUAAUACUAUACUAAGGAGGACAAUAGUCCAAACACUUAGAUGAAUAAAAGUUAUAAAUGGCAGUCUUGAAUGUUCGAAUGGAUUCGCACUGUUUCACCUGAGAUGGCAAAGUGUUCCAGAGUUCGGCUGUUCUUAUGAAGUAAGAUUUCCUGUAAUAAUCUUGCUUAUGCUUUAUAAUUAGAUUAUAGUUAUUUAUGUCAUAAUUACGUGUUCGAUACCCGGGCUCAAACACUGUCAAAAAUUUAUUAAUGUCGGUGGUUACCAAGCCAUUUCUCGAUUUAAAGAAAAAUGUUAAGUCUGAAAUUUGUCUACGGUGUUCUAAAGGCAAUAAGUUUAGUUUUAUCAAUCUAUCAGUAUACUUCAUAUCUUCAGGAUAGUUUAGAAUAAACUUGGUAGCUCUUCUCUGGACAUUUUCAAUUAAUUUCGCGUAUUUCUUGAUGUAAGGCGACCAAAGACUACUACCAUAUUCCAGCUUGGGUCGUACAAGAGCACAGUAUAUUAUUUUUCUAGUUUGUAUAUCUUGCAAAUCACGGAAAAUCCUUUUCAUUAGCCCAAGGGUCCUGUUAGCUUUAACAACAAUUUUCUCAAUAUGAUCUGCCCAGGAUAAAUUGUGACAUAUAGUAAUCCCGAGGUCGACAAAUGAAGGCACACAC